rfam:Granulicatella elegans ATCC 700633 genomic scaffold supercont2.1, whole genome shotgun sequence.
UUUUCUAGUUGAAUGCGACCGAAGACAGUAGGGGGCGUUAGCCUUAAUAUCCUACCGAGGGAGAACAAGUUGAUCUUAUUUCUCUAUGUCUUUGUGGGCAUAGAGUUUUUUUAUGCCCUA